rnacentral:rRNA from 1 species
GAUGAACGCUGGCGGCGUGCCUAAUACAUGCAAGUCGAGCGAACAGACGAGGAGCUUGCUCCUCUGACGUUAGCGGCGGACGGGUGAGUAACACGUGGAUAACCUACCUAUAAGACUGGGAUAACUUCGGGAAACCGGAGCUAAUACCGGAUAAUAUAUUGAACCGCAUGGUUCAAUAGUGAAAGACGGUUUUGCUGUCACUUAUAGAUGGAUCCGCGCCGCAUUAGCUAGUUGGUAAGGUAACGGCUUACCAAGGCAACGAUGCGUAGCCGACCUGAGAGGGGGAUCGGCCACACUGGAACGGAGACACGGUCCAGACCCCUACGGGAGGAAGCAGUGGGGAAUUUUCCGCAAUGGGGGAAAGCUUGACGGAGCAACGCCGCGUGAGUUAUGAAGGUUUUCGGAUCGUAAACCUUUUUUAUUAGGGAAAAAAAAAUUUGUAAGUAACUAUGCACGUUUUGACGGUACCUAAUGAGAAAGCCCCGGCUAACUACGU